rnacentral:rRNA from 1 species
UACAGAGGGGGCAAGCGUUGCUCGGAAUUACUGGGCGUAAAGGGCGCGUAGGCGGGAUAGCAAGUCGGUCGUGAAAUCCCUCGGCUCAACCGAGGAACGUCGAUCGAUACUGCUGUUCUUGAGGAUUGCAGAGGAGACUGGAAUUCCCGGUGUAGCGGUGAAAUGUGUAGAGAUCGGGAGGAACACCGGUGGCGAAGGCGGGUCUCUGGGCAAUUCCUGACGCUGAGGCGCGAAAGCGUGGGGAGCAAACGGG